rnacentral:rRNA from 1 species
CUGCAGCGCGAGUGGUGAUCGAUUUUAUUGAGCCUAAAGCGUCCGUAGCCGGACUAGUAAACCCUUGGGUAAAUUGGGCAGCUUAACUGUCCAAAUUCCGAGGGGACUGCUAGUCUUGGGACCGGGAGAGGUCAGAGGUACUCAAGGGGUAGGGGCUAAAUCCUGUAAUCCUUUGGGGACCACCAGUGGCGAAGGCGUCUGACUAGAACGGAUCCGACGGUAAGGGACGAAACCCUGGGGCUCGAACCAGAUUAGAUACCCGAGUAGUCC